AGUCCUAUCCAGGCAACAAAGAAAGAAGGGAAGGUGGCAGUCAGACUUAAGUAGACAGAUCUUUUAGCCAAUGGAUGUGCAAGAGAGGGGAGGUUUGCUCCAUGUUGGCCAGUAAGAAGUGCUUGGGUCGACCCGCCUCCAAGUCCUGGGAGGACAGUUCAAAUUAUGGUGGAGGGGCUGGUGCUAGGCAGCAGUGGCGAGGGGAGUAGUGGGGAUUAGGGGGAGCACGAGAUCAUUCACCUUUGCCGCUCAGAUUACCAAGCCUGUGACUUUGAGAAUCGGUGUCUUCCUUGCAAGGUUUCAAUCUGAGGCUCUUGGGAAGAGGGCGGAAUUGGAGCCUGAUGGAAGCGCUGGAUAUGAACACCCCUUUGUUCAGCAGAUGCAUGCUGUAUGCGCUACCCUUAGUCGUUUCUUGAUGGGAGCUUCAGGGAUAACAUCUCAAAGGUGCUGUUUCCUCCCUGACCAGCUGAGUUCUGACCUAUCGUGACUUUCUCCUGUCCGGACAUUUCUCACUUACCUGAACACAGGCCUCUUGUAAGCUCUCUGCCAACCAUCCAGGGCUCUUUCCCUUGUUCCAAUAAGGAGAUCACUUGAGGCUUAGGAGUGUAAAGUCCUGCUCACGAGAAAAGAUAUGGAACAUGGUUAUGCUGGGGGUAAAGGAGAUCCAGUCCCUAGAUGAUCAUAGGAAGAGAUGCCACUACAGGAACAGCCAAAGAAAGAUGAAGAUGAAGCUUCAACCACAGCCCACUGGAGUUGCCAAUUUCCCACUCUUCCUUUUCAUUUCAGCUCAAACCAUUUGUUUGGUAAUAAAGAACAGAAAUUCAGCUAGUAACCUGAAAAGCAGCUGAGAAAUUCACUGUGGAAGAAGCAGACAUUCCAGAGGAGAACUGGGAAUCACUGGUACAGAUGCCCUUACCCAUUGAAACCAGAUUGCUGUAGUUCUCCAACAUCACAUCUCUGUAUAAGUCCCUCUGAACAGGGUCCAGGCAGUCCCACUCCUCCUGAGAGAAGUCUAUGGACACAUCACUGAACAUCACUGAUCCCUGAAACAAUAAACAUACGUAUUACUUGUGUAAUUAAAAAAAUGUAUCAGAGACUAUGGUGCUUGUAUUGUGGGGUAAUACAAAAUGAGUCAUUA